UAUUCAGAGCCAUGCAAAAUUGCUUUCUGUGAAUGCUUGCAUUCAGACAGAAUAGCAAUUUUAUAUGGCGAAGUAACCACAUGAGCAAAAUAGAAGCAUCGAAGAUGCGAUUUUGCGAAUGGGGUUCUGAAUAGUUACAAAAAUUGACAGAAUA
rfam:Clostridiales bacterium 41_21_two_genomes Ley3_66761_scaffold_1181, whole genome shotgun sequence.